rnacentral:rRNA from 1 species
UACGUAGGGUGCGAGCGUUAAUCGGAAUUACUGGGCGUAAAGCGUGCGCAGGCGGUGAUGUAAGACAGGUGUGAAAUCCCCGGGCUUAACCUGGGAACUGCAUUUGUGACUGCAUCGCUGGAGUGCGGCAGAGGGGGAUGGAAUUCCGCGUGUAGCAGUGAAAUGCGUAGAUAUUGGGAAGAACACCGGUGGCGUAAGCGGCUUGCUGGGCUAUAACUGACGCUGAGGAACGAAAGCUAGGGGAGCAAAUGGG